rnacentral:rRNA from 1 species
GAUCAUGGCUCAGGACGAACGCUGGCGGCGCGCCUAACACAUGCAAGUCGAACGAGCGAGAGAGAGCUUGCUUUCUCAAGCGAGUGGCGAACGGGUGAGUAACGCGUGAGGAACCUGCCUCAAAGAGGGGGACAACAGUUGGAAACGACUGCUAAUACCGCAUAAGCCAACGGGUCGGCAUCGACCAGAGGGAAAAGGAGCAAUCCGCUUUGAGAUGGCCUCGCGUCCGAUUAG